ensembl:lincRNA
GUGAGCACGAAGGAGAAUUUGGGAAGAGGUAAGAACAAUUCAUGUGAAUUGUGAAGAGUCCUACAAGAAAGCCAGAUUGUUCCCUGGGGUCUCUUUGAGGGCAGGGAGAGAGAAUGAAAAUACAGAUAAUGAGGAUGACUCUUGGCAGACUGUCCACCUACGACUGGCAUUUCUGCAAGAGUCCUGUAACAACAUUUUGAAGAUAAAAUCAUGCCACGACUCUGAAAUUGGAAGUACAGAACAUAUAAGAAAAUAAAUCAAGAAAUGAGGGGAAUCUCCUGAAAGGAUGGUCAAUGUUCUGCUAAAAUCAUCCAAUCUUUUAAUGUUUGGAGACCCAGAGAAAAAGCACCAAAAUAAGUGUUUAUGUGCAUUGUACAAGAACUGAAAUCCAGGUAGCUUCACUGUUAUUACAGAAUCUGAAGAAAUAAACAUCCCACAGAGAUGAGAUCACUAUCUCCAGAAAUAAAGGUUUCCAAAAGAAAAACAAUUGUGAAAGGAAAUUAUCCUCUUUACUAACAAUAUGGUGAUCAGCCAUUCCCGCUUUCUCCUGAU